UGAAAGUGGAAGGAGUAUUUCUUUAUGCAGUAAGUAACAAACGGAGCAAAAAGAAAGACUUGCAAGGAAAACAACAUUAUGGCAAAGACAUGUAGCCUUGAUGGAAGGCGAGAUGCAAUAAAAACAGAGGCAACAACAGAAGCAUUUAAAGAGACACAACUAGUCAAGUUUGGACUUUUUAGAGCCCCAGGAGCACUUAUUGUCGAUCCUGAAUAGUCAUGCAGGAAAAGAUGAAGUACUAUAAGUGAAACAGUUACAGCCCAGAUGGAAUCUGAACUUAUGGACCUCGUGAGAGUAUGACAAAUAGGAGCCAACACAUAUAACCCCGUUGUAAAAAAAGAGACAUUGAGGAUAUAAUGGAAAAGAAGAUUGAGAGAAAGCAUUUCUUUGGUUAAAAGCAGAACAAUGAAACCUGAUCCAAGAAGGCUUACAUCAAGAAGUAAGAGGGAAUUUUCACUAAGGAUAGAUUGCAGGGUGUAGGUCCAAACCAAGCCGACGAGUGCAACAAUGCACAGAUACUGAGAGAUGGAAACCGAGUCUUGCAUCACCUUCAGCAGGUCCCGUUUAACAACGCUAGCAUUCAUAACCAGAUCUUCAAGAAAAGAAUCAUCAGUGUGAUUGUCAUCAAAACCAGGUUGCAUCCCUCCAUAUGCCACUUUUCUCCAUCUAGGAUGAGAAGGAGAUGAGAUCUCACUAUUGUUGAAAUCCAUCGCCAUUCAACUUCACUACUGAGUGUUCGGAUUCAGGUUGAUAACCGCGACUGUUGCUCACUUGCUCGACUCAGCUCUGAACUGGUGGGUCAGCGUGCCGGCGAUGGGAGGUGACUGGU
rnacentral:misc_RNA from 1 species